GACGAACGCUGGCGGCGUGCUUAACACAUGCAAGUCGAGCGGAAAGGCCCUUCGGGGUACUCGAGCGGCGAACGGGUGAGUAACACGUGAGGAACCUGCCCCAGACUUUGGGAUAACCUUCGGAACGGAGGCUAAUACCGGAUAUGACAUUCCAUCGCAUGGUGGUUUGCGGAAAGUUUUUCGGUUUGGGAUGGUCUCGCGGCCUAUCAGCUUGUUGGUGGGGUAAUGGCCUACCAAGGCGACGACGGGAGCCGGCCUGAGAGGGCGACCGGCCACACUGGGACUGAGACACGGCCCAGACUCCUACGGGAGGCAGCAGUGGGGAAUAUUGCACAAUGGGCGGAAGCCUGAUGCAGCGACGCCGCGUGAGGGAUGACGGCCUU
rnacentral:rRNA from 1 species